rnacentral:ncRNA from 1 species
GCCGAGGAGCGCUGCAACGGGCAAUCGGCCCGCCAGGCUCGGGAUACCCGGUGUCUCCAUUAUUAGAACGGCGCUCAGU